rnacentral:rRNA from 1 species
AUUGAACGCUGGCGGCAGGCUUAACACAUGCAAGUCGAGCGAGCGGCGGACGGGUGAGUAAUGUCUGGGAAACUGCCUGAUGGAGGGGGAUAACAACUGGAAACGGUAGCUAAUACCGCAUACCCUCAGAUGUGCCCAGAUGGGAUUAGCUAGUAGGUGGGGUAAUGGACCACCUAGGCGACGAUCCCUAGCUGGUCUGAGAGGAUGAACAGCCACACUGGAACGGAGACACGGCCCAGACUCCUACGGGAGGCAGCAGUGGGGAAUAUUGCACAAGUGGCGCAAGCCUGAUGCAGCCAUGCCGCGUGUGUUAAGAAGGCCUGCGGGUUGUAAAGCACUUUCAGCGAGGAAGCGUUACUCGCAGAAGAAGCACCGGCUAACUCCGUGCCAGCAGCCGCGGUAAUAC